UUUGAGGAAUUUCGAAGCUAAUUCAAUUCUAUAAAGAUUUGGGUAGGAAUUUUUGGAGUUCUUAUUGGGAAAUUUAAUUUGAAGACAGUGAAAUCUGGGGAAAAUAAUUUGUCAGAAGAAGAAUUUGUAUAUUGAGAAAUUUUAGGAGAAUUUUAGGGUUUUCUUCUUCUGCACCAGAUUUGCUUGUGAUCUUUUCGCCUUCAUAGAACGAGAAGUAAAUGGAUCCAAGCAAUGGAGCAUUGUAAAAGACAUAAAUACCCUUGAUAUGUACCUGAAAUAACGGAAAUCUUGUAGGACUAAGG
rnacentral:lncRNA from 1 species